UACAGAGGUCUCAAGCGUUGUUCGGAUUCAUUGGGCGUAAAGGGUGCGUAGGCGGCGCGGUAAGUCGGGUGUGAAAUCUCGGGGCUUAACUCCGAAACUGCAUUCGAUACUGCCGUGCUUGAGGACUGGAGAGGAGACUGGAAUUUACGGUGUAGCGGUGAAAUUCGUAGAUAUUCGCAAGAACACCAGUGGCGAAGGCGGCUCACUGGCCCGGUACUGACGCUGAGGUGAGAAAGCGUGGGGAGCAAACAGG
rnacentral:rRNA from 1 species